CCCUAAAUCUGCUUGAGCUGAGGAGACAGGUUUUAUUGUGCAGGGGAAGGUGGGGGAGAGGUGUUGGCUGUCAGUGGGUCAGCAAUUAAUUGGUUCAUUCCUUUCUCACGGUUAUUUUCCAUCCAACAUCGGCUAAAGCCCCGGUGCCCACUCUGUCCCAGCUCAGCAAACAAGAACCACGGGGAUUUGCACUGGGUGACCCCAGGCCAGGAGAUUGGCUUUGCAGGGGCUGCUGGGAGGUCCCUUGUCCUGCCAAGGCUGUUAUCUCGUCUUAGGAGGAGGAUGUGAUUAGUGUUCGCUGCCGUGGGAUGUCAGCUGAGGGAUGAGAACUGCGUGCCAAGAGGAGGAGCGAGCUGCCACGGGUGUAGGGGAUCAAUCUGCGGGGAUGACAAGAGAAACAGAGUGAGUGCCCAGCUCUCCAGAGCUCAACUGCAGAGCCACAGGAUUCACCAAAGCCCUUCAAGCCAGCCCAUUCCCCUUCUCUUGACUCAGGGCUGGAAAUAGUGGCAGGAUGCUUCUGGUACCACAUUUCUCACGGAAAUCAGACGUGCGGUCAGGCGGGGUCACACUGAACCUGCCGGUGCUCGAUAAGGCAGGUUGGUGCUCCAGGAGGAGUAACUGGACACGGAGCUUGUCACAGGCGUCUCCAGCCAUAUUCCCCCUGUGCCCUUUGCUUCCUUCAGCCUUUACCCCUGCAAAGCAGGCUGGAUUGUAGGCACUGGGACUGAAUGCAUGGAGCUGGUAGUCUUGUGCUGCCCACUGCAGUGCUAGAUAUGCACAGUGUCCAUGACGGAGAAGAGAUC